rnacentral:SRP_RNA from 1 species
GGUCAGGCCCGAUGUGACGGUGGAAGACCAACUCCGCCAGGACUGGAAAGUAGCAACGGUACGUCCACUCCUCCGUGUGCAUCGCAAGCCUGACCCAC